AGUGAACGCUGGCGGCAGGCCUAAUACAUGCAAGUCGAACGGCAGCACAGCAGAGCUUGCUCUGUGGGUGGCGAGUGGCGGACGGGUGAGGAAUACAUGGGAAUCUGCCCAGUCGUGGGGGAUAACGUAUGGAAACGUACGCUAAUACCGCAUGCGCCCUACGGGGGAAAGCCGGGGACCGCAAGGCCUGGCGCGAUUGGAUGAGCCCAUGUUCGAUUAGCUAGUUGGCGGGGUAAAGGCCCACCAAGGCGACGAUCGAUAGCUGGUCUGAGAGGAUGAUCAGCCACACUGGAACUGAGACACGGUCCAGACUCCUACGGGAGGCAGCAGUAGGGAAUAUUGGACAAUGGGGGCAACCCUGAUCCAGCCAUGCCGCGUGAGUGAAGAAGGCCCUCGGGUUGUAAAGCUCUUUUGUCCGGAAAGAAAGCAUUCGGUUAAUACCCGGGUGUUCUGACGGUACCGGAAUAAUAAGCACCGGCUAACUUCGUGCC
rnacentral:rRNA from 1 species